GAUGAACGCUGGCGGCGUGCUUAACACAUGCAAGUCGAACGAGAAGUGAAGACGGAAACCUUCGGGCGGAAGGCUUUAUUUCGAGUGGCGGACGGGUGAGUAACGCGUGGGUAACCUGCCUCAUACAGGGGGAUAACAGUUGGAAACGACUGUUAAUACCGCAUAAGACCACAGCACCGCAUGGUGCGGGGGUAAAAACUCCGGUGGUAUGAGAUGGACCCGCGUUCGAUUAGCCAGUUGGCGGGGUAACGGCCCACCAAAGCGACGAUCGAUAGCCGAUCUGAGAGGAUGACCGGCCACAUUGGGACUGAGACACGGCCCAAACUCCUACGGGAGGCAGCAGUGGGGGAUAUUGCACAAUGGGGGAAACCCUGAUGCAGCGACGCCGCGUGAGUGAAGAAGUAUUUCGGUAUGUAAAGCUCUAUCAGCAGGGAAGAAAAUGACGGUACCUGAGUAAGAAGCCCCGGCUAACUACGUG
rnacentral:rRNA from 1 species